rnacentral:rRNA from 1 species
AAUGUCUAGAUAAGCCAUGCACGUCUAGUACAAACUAAAUGAUGGUGAAACUGCAAAUGGCUCAUUACAACGGUUAUGAUGUACCCGGGAGUUCCGAUGGAUAUUUCCAGUAACACUAGAACUAAUACAUGUCCCUGCGUUUAUUAGUUUCGCACAGUCCGUCGCUGAGUCAUGGUAAACAGUUGAUCGACUCGACGUCCCGGAACAGUUUCCGCCCCAUCAGCUUCGAUGGUUGGGUAUUGGCCUACCAUUGCAACAACGGGUAACGAGGAAUUAGGGUUUGAUUUCGGAGAGGGAGCCUGAGAAACGGCUACCACAUCUACGGAUGGCAGCAGGCGCGCAAAUUACCCAAUGCAGACACUGUGAGGUAGUGACGAGAAAUAAUAAAGCGGGACUUCUGUUUCGCUAUUAUAAUGAGGAAUAACCAAAGGUCAUUCCGAUUAGCAACUGAUGGGAAAGUCUGGUGCCAGCAGCCGCGGUAAUACCAGCGUCAGUAGCAU